rnacentral:rRNA from 1 species
CCAAGGAGUUCAGCACAUGUGCAGGUUGUUGGGUAUAGACACCCGAAGGCACAGUGAAAGCAAACGAUGCAACUCGGUUGUAUCACAGUGGCAAGAUCUCGGCUAUUUUAGCUGGGCGCACUGCCGGCCCGUUUUCUAGCUACGCGCUCGAAACGGAGUUAGAGCACAUACGCUGAGACCCGAAAGAUGGUGAACUAUGCCUGGGCAGGAUGAAGUCAGGGGAAACUCUGAUGGAAGUCCGUAGCGAUUCUGACGUGCAAAUCGAUCGUCUGACCUGGGUAUAGGGGCGAAAGACUAAUCGAACCAUCUAAUAGCUGGUUCCUUCCGAAGUUUCCCUCAGGAUAGCUGGUGCUAUUUGUUCAGUCUCUCCCGGUAAAGCGAAUGAUUAGAGGUCUUGGGGGCAAAACGCCCUCAACCUAUUCUCAAACUUUAAAUGGGUGAGAAGUCCAGCUUACUUAAGUGAAGUCUGGACUCUAGGAUGUUUGAGUACCAAGUGGGCCAUUUUUGGUAAGCAGAACUGGCGCUGUGGGAUGAACCGAACGCUGGGUUACGGUGUCCGAGUAUACGCUCAUCAGACCCCACAAAAGGUGUUGGUUGCUAUAGACAGCAGGACGGUGGCCAUGGAAGUCGGAA